UACGGAGGGAGCUAGCGUUGUUCGGAAUUACUGGGCGUAAAGCGCACGUAGGCGGCUUUGUAAGUUAGGGGUGAAAGCCCGGAGCUCAACUCCGGAAUUGCCUUUAAGACUGCAUCGCUUGAAUCCGGGAGAGGUGAGUGGAAUUCCGAGUGUAGAGGUGAAAUUCGUAGAUAUUCGGAAGAACACCAGUGGCGAAGGCGACUCGCUGGACAGACAUUGACGCUGAGGUGCGAAAGCGUGGGGAGCAAACAGG
rnacentral:rRNA from 1 species